GACGAACGCUGGCGGCGUGCCUAAUACAUGCAAGUCGAACGCAGUGGGGACGGGUGAGUAACACCUGGGUAACCUCCCAUCAGACGGGAUAACACUUGGAAAAUGGUGCUAAACCCAUACUGAUGGAUGGACCCGCGGGGCAUUAGCUAGUGGGAGAGGUCACGGCUCACCAAGGCCACGAUGCAUAGCCGAGCUGAGAGGGUGAUCGGCCACACUGGGACUGAGACACGGCCCAGACUCCUACGGGAGGCAGCAGUGGGGAAUCUUCGACAAUGGGCGAAAGUCUGAGCGAGCAACGCCGCGUGAGUGAAGAAGGUAUUCGGAUCGUAAAACUCUGUUGUUAGGGAAGCGGUAUCUAACCAGAAAGCCCCGGCUAACUCCGUGCCAGCAGCCGCGGUAAUAC
rnacentral:rRNA from 1 species